rnacentral:rRNA from 1 species
AGUGAACGCUGGCGGUAGGCCUAACACAUGCAAGUCGAACGGCAGCACAGUAAGAGCUUGCUCUUACGGGUGGCGAGUGGCGGACGGGUGAGGAAUACAUCGGAAUCUACUUUUUCGUGGGGGAUAACGUAGGGAAACUUACGCUAAUACCGCAUACGACCUACGGGUGAAAGCAGGGGAUCUUCGGACCUUGCGCGAUUGAAUGAGCCGAUGUCGGAUUAGCUAGUUGGCGGGGUAAAGGCCCACCAAGGCGACGAUCCGUAGCUGGUCUGAGAGGAUGAUCAGCCACACUGGAACUGGGGCACGGUCCAGACUCCUACGGGAGGCAGCAGUGGGGAAUAUUGGGCAAUGGGCGCAAGCCUUAUCCAGCCAUACCGCGUGGGUGAAGAAGGCCUUCGGGUUGUAAAGCCCUUUUGUUGGGAAAGAAAAGCAGCAGGUUAAUACCCCGCUGUUCCGACGGUACCCAAAGAAUAAGCACCGGCUAACUUCGUG